UUGAAGCUAAAAACGAAAUCAAAAACAUCCUAAGCGAUCCAAAUUGCACCAACACCUCUGGAAAUAAUAACAUCGCAAUUGACUAUAUCACAUAAAAAUCAUUGUUAGCCCAAUGUUCAGAAACACCAAUUGCAUAAAUUGAGAUUGGAGAAUAAUCACCACCGUCCCAGAUUCGAUACAGUUUUUGCAGAUCACCAGAAAUAUCAAUAAACUCGUUCUCAACAGAUCCAACACUAAAUAGACCCAACCAUAACUAGACGGAAACAUAACCAAACACUCCAACAGGAGAGACAAAACACACACUCCAAAAAGAGAGACACACAAACACCCAAAAAAUUGGGUUUUAUUGAAAGAAAACUAACAAGAGUAAAAUAUAAUGAAGGGAUUGGGGCUUUCCACCGGAGAAAACCAGUGGAAGCCCCUCGAUUUACUUGAG
rnacentral:lncRNA from 1 species